rnacentral:rRNA from 1 species
AGUUGAGAUUCUCAGAUUGCCUCAGAUGUCAUGCUCCAUCGAUCGACGCUGCAGCAGCAUAAGACAUGUAGUCGAGCGAGAAUCCCUCGAGGUGAGUCAGCGCGGACGAGUGAGUACGCGUAGGAUCUACCUAGUAGUGGGGACACUAGUAGAAGCGCUAGCUAAUACCGCAUACGCCCUACGGGAGAAAGCGGAGGACCUUCGAGCCUCGUGCUAUUGGAUGAGCCUGCGUAAGAUUAGCUUGUUGGUGAGGUAAUGGCUCACCAAGGCGACGAUCUUUAGCUGGUCUGAGAGGAUGAUCAGCCACACCGGGACUGAGACACGGCCCGGACUCCUACGGGAGGCAGCAGUCGGGAAUAUUGCGCAAUGGGCGAAAGCCUGACGCAGCCAUGCCGCGUGUGUGAAGAAGGCCCUAGGGUUGUAAAGCACUUUCAAUUGGGAGGAAAAGCUAAUGGUUAAUAACCAUUAGCCCUGACGUUACCUUUAGAAGAAGCACCGGCUAACUCCGUGCCAGCAGCCGCGGUAAUACGGAGGGGUGCAAGCGUUAAUCGGAAUUACUGGGCGUAAAGCGCGCGUAGGCGGUUUUUUAAGUCGGAUGUGAAAGCCCCGGGCUCAACCUGGGAACUGCAUCCGAUACUGGAUCACUAGAAUGCGGGAGAGGGAGGUAGAAUUCCAUGUGUAGCAGUGAAAUGCGUAGAUAUAUGGAGGAAUACCAGUGGCGAAGGCGGCCUCCUGGCUCGACAUUGACGCUGAGGUGCGAAAGCGUGGGGAGCAAACGGGAUUAGAUACCCUGGUAGUCAA